GACGAACGCUGGCGGCGUGCUUAACACAUGCAAGUCGAACGGAAAGGCCCUGCUUUUGUGGGGUGCUCGAGUGGCGAACGGGUGAGUAACACGUGAGUAACCUGCCCUUGACUUUGGGAUAACUUCGGGAAACUGGGGCUAAUACCGGAUAGGAGCUCCUGCUGCAUGGUGGGGGUUGGAAAGUUUCGGCGGUUGGGGAUGGACUCGCGGCUUAUCAGCUUGUUGGUGGGGUAGUGGCUUACCAAGGCUUUGACGGGUAGCCGGCCUGAGAGGGUGACCGGCCACAUUGGGACUGAGAUACGGCCCAGACUCUUACGGGAGGCAGCAGUGGGGAAUAUUGCACAAUGGGCGGAAGCCUGAUGCAGCAACGCCGCGUGCGGGAUGACGGCCUUCGGGUUGUAAACCGCUUUCGCCUGUGACGAAGCGUGAGUGACGGUAAUGGGUAAAGAAGCACCGGCUAACUACGUG
rnacentral:rRNA from 1 species